GGAAAUCCACAAAGUGGUAUGAACCAGCAUAUACUGUCUCAGUCGGCGAGCAGCCUAUGCCAAAGUACAGCAAGUUUUCUCGAACAGUGAAUGUAUUGUUUCACAGUCGGUAAACUUUUUGCUAAGGUAAAUUGCAUGCUCUUUUCGACAAGACUUGUCAUGCUGACCCAAUACACCUUGUGGAUCCCUCGAAGGCCGUCAAGUACAGAACUGACAAUUGCUCCUCCCACAGGAGAUAUCAGAAUCAGAGGUUCCUGCAACUUAUUCCUUUAUUUCUUUCAAUGCCCCUUGGCAAUCAUUAUUUCGCCUGACCGUUCGAUUUUUUUUUCAACAGUCUUGAAUAUGGGUUCAUACGUGGCUAUUAGAUGAGAUGUGAACCAUGACAGGUAGUUCAAUCUUUCUAAGAAACCACGAACCUCUCUUUUCUUUUUCUCGGUUCAGGCAUUUUGUUGUCGUUUUUUUAUUUUUUUUUAGCAGGAUCAACCUCGAUUCCUCUCUUAUAACGAACCCCAACGAUUUACCGGAUUGCACUCUGAUAGUGCACUGACUUGAAUUCAA
rnacentral:lncRNA from 1 species